rnacentral:rRNA from 1 species
ACUCCUGCGGGAGGCAGCAGUGGGGAAUUUUGGACAAUGGGCGAAAGCCUGAUCCAGCAAUGCCGCGUGAGUGAAGAAGGCCUUCGGGUUGUAAAGCUCUUUUGUCAGGGAAGAAACGGUGAAAGCUAAUAUCUUUUGCUAAUGACGGUACCUGAAGAAUAAGCACUGGCUAACUACGUGCCAGCAGCCGCGGUAAUACGUAGGGUGCAAGCGUUAAUCGGAAUUACUGGGCGUAAAGCGUGCGCAGGCGGUUUUGUAAGUCUGAUGUGAAAUCCCCGGGCUCAACCUGGGAAUUGCAUUGGAGACUGCAAGGCUAGAAUCUGGCAGAGGGGGGUAGAAUUCCACGUGUAGCAGUGAAAUGCGUAGAUAUGUGGAGGAACACCGAUGGCGAAGGCAGCCCCCUGGGUCAAGAUUGACGCUCAUGCACGAAAGCGUGGGGAGCAAACAGGAUUAGAAACCCGGGUAGUCCCAUGAU